CUGAAUGCACACUGCUGGGGAAACUAAGAGACCCUGAGAGCUGAGAGCCUUGUCUCUACCCUCUGACCAAAUAGUGGAAUGGAGCUUCAGGGCACAUAAGACACUGCCGGCAGGCUUUCUGAAAGAACCUUCCACUCUGCUCCUCCUUAACUGCCCCUCUUUGGGGUGAUGGGGACUCCUGCUUCUACUCAAGUCCCAUGUGGCCCCCUUCAGCUGGCCCCCACCUGCCUCUUCUGCAUCAGCACUUGGGCAGGUGGCAUGCCCCUGCAUUCUUGAGGGACUGUGGCAGAAGCUGUCUUGCUCUCUGGUGGAUUCAGCUUGGUAGCCCAUUUUAUUAUUUUUUUAAAAUUUGUUUUAGAAGUGGGGUACAGGCCAGAGUCAUGGGGGUUGAAAAGAUUCACCAGAGACAGAGCGGGUAGCAGAACAGGCAGAUGGACAGAAACACACUGCUGAGGGGCAGCAGUGGGCAACACAGGAGAGGUCUGCCGCACCCUGUGGGUAGCUCCCUGCCAGCUGGGGCUCGAACUCGCACCCCAAAGGUUGCGGAUAGCUUCAGAGCACUGCACUCAACCUGCUGUACCACCAGGGAGGCCCCAGGUGGAGGGUUCGCAGGACGUGAUAGGGCAGGAAACACAGGAGGAAGAUGAUCAAGGCAAUGAUGAUGGUGGUCAAUGCCUUCCUGUGAGAAACCCGCAGCCCUGAUUCUGGGACCUCCACCUUUAGCAAGGCUCGGAUGAUUAGCAGAGCCAUUUUUCAGAAGUAUUGCUGGAGAUACCAUCAUAAGGAACCAUAUGAUUC